UGAGGAAUAUUGGUCAAUGGGCGAGAGCCUGAACCAGCCAAGUAGCGUGCAGGAAGACGGCCCUAUGGGUUGUAAACUGCUUUUGUAUGGGGAUAAAGUCAAUCACGUGUGAUUGUUUGCAGGUACCAUACGAAUAAGGACCGGCUAAUUCCGUGCCAGCAGCCGCGGUAAUACGGAAGGUCCGGGCGUUAUCCGGAUUUAUUGGGUUUAAAGGGAGCGUAGGCUGGAGAUUAAGUGUGUUGUGAAAUGUAGACGCUCAACGUCUGACUUGCAGCGCAUACUGGUUUCCUUGAGUAUGCACAACGUAGGCGGAAUUCGUCGUGUAGCGGUGAAAUGCUUAGAUAUGACGAAGAACUCCGAUUGCGAAGGCAGCUUACGGGAGCACAACUGACGCUGAAGCUCGAAGGUGCGGGUAUCAAACAGGAUUAGAUACCCUGGUAGUCCGCACAGUAAACGAUGGAUGCCCGUUGUUAGUUCACUUAAGAAUUAGCGACCAAGCGAAAGCAUUAAGCAUCCCACCUGGGGAGUACGCCGGCNACGGU
rnacentral:rRNA from 1 species